rnacentral:lncRNA from 1 species
GUAAGGGAGCUACCAUUUGAUUUUUAUGGGGGGGCUAGGAUGAAAAAUUGUGUCCUGCCUUUUUUUUUAGUUGUAAUCUCUGUCCUGCCUUUUUAUUUUUCACUCUAUUCGGUCCUGCCUUUUUUUUUUAUUAGUUUAUCCUGACUUUUUUUACCUAAAUUGUCAUCCUGCCUUUUUUUUUGCAAAAUGUCUCAUCCUGCCUU